GACGAACGCUGGCGGCGUGCUUAACACAUGCAAGUCGAACGGAGUGGCGAACGGGUGAGUAACACGUGGGUGAUCUGCCUUGCACUUCGGGAUAAGCGUGGGAAACUGGGUCUAAUACCGGAUAGUGCAAGAUGAGCUCGCGGCCUAUCAGCUUGUUGGUGGGGUAAUGGCCUACCAAGGCGUCGAUGGGUAGCCGGCCUGAGAGGGUGUACGGCCACAUUGUGCCUGUGAUACGGCCCAGAGUCCUACGUGAGGCAGCAGUGUGUAAUAUUGCACAAUGGGCGGAGUCCUGAUGCAGCGACGCUGCGUGGGUGAUGAAGGUCUUAGGGUUGUAAACUCCUUUCGACAGGGACGCGGUACCUGUAUAAGAAGCACCGGCUAACUACGUGCCAGCAGCCGCGGUAAUAC
rnacentral:rRNA from 1 species